rnacentral:rRNA from 1 species
UCGAGCGGUAUUGUUUCUUCGGAAACGAGAGAGCGGCGCACGGGUGCGGAACACGUGUGCAACCUGCCUUUAUCUGGGGGAUAGCCUUUCGAAAGGAAGAUUAAUACCCCAUAAUAUUUUGAAUGGCAUCAUUUAAAAUUGAAAACUCCGGUGGAUAGAGAUGGGCACGCGCAAGAUUAGAUAGUUGGUAGGGUAACGGCCUACCAAGUCAGUGAUCUUUAGGGGGCCUGAGAGGGUGAUCCCCCACACUGGUACUGAGACACGGACCAGACUCCUACGGGAGGCAGCAGUGAGGAAUAUUGGACAAUGGGUGAGAGCCUGAUCCAGCCAUCCCGCGUGAAGGACGACGGCCCUAUGGGUUGUAAACUUCUUUUGUACAGGGAUAAACCUUUCCACGUGUGGAAAGCUGAAGGUACUGUACGAAUAAGCACCGGCUAACUCCGUG